rnacentral:ncRNA from 1 species
GAACUUUGGAGACGCCCGGGAAACCGGGGGCCGAAGGGGCAACGGGAAGACUUCCCGAAAUCUCUCAGGCAAAAGGACAAAGAAG